GGACGAACGCUGGCGGCGUGCCUAACACAUGCAAGUCGAACGGAGUUGAGGAGCUUGCUCCUCAGCUUAGUGGCGGACGGGUGAGUAACGCGUGAGUAACCUGCCUCUGAGAGGGGAAUAACGUCCUGAAAAGAACGCUAAUACCGCAUAACAUUCAAGAGCCGCAUGACUUUUGAAUCAAAGAUUUAUCGCUCGGAGAUGGACUCGCGUCCGAUUAGCUGGUUGGUGAGGUAACGGCUCACCAAGGCGACGAUCGGUAGCCGGACUGAGAGGUUGAACGGCCACAUUGGGACUGAGACACGGCCCAGACUCCUACGGGAGGCAGCAGUGGGGGAUAUUGCGCAAUGGGGGCAAACCCCUGACGCAGCAACGCCGCGUGAAGGAUGAAGGUUUUCGGAUUGUAAACUUCUUUUAUCAGGGACGAACAAUGACGGUACCUGAUGAAUAAGCUCCGGCUAACUACGUGCCAGCCGCCGC
rnacentral:rRNA from 1 species